rnacentral:rRNA from 1 species
UACGAAGGGGGCUAGCGUUGCUCGGAAUCACUGGGCGUAAAGGGCGCGUAGGCGGCCAUUCAAGUCGGGGGUGAAAGCCUGUGGCUCAACCACAGAAUUGCCUUCGAUACUGUUUGGCUUGAGUAUGGCAGAGGUUGGUGGAACUGCGAGUGUAGAGGUGAAAUUCGUAGAUAUCGAGAGGAACACCGGUGGCGAAGGCGGCGAUCUGGACGAUGACUGACGCUGAGACGCGAAAGCGUGGGGAGCAAACAGG